CAACGGCUUGACGAUAAGAAAGCUGUCUCUCUUUACUAAACUCUGAAGUUAGCUGGAUAGUGAAGAGACUCUCUUAGCAAAGCGGGACGAGAAGACCCCGUUGAGCUUUAGUAAAAAUUGUUUAUUAAAAACUUGAUUACUUGAGUUGGGGCAACUAUCUUUCUUUUUUAAAACAAAGAUAAAAAUGUUUUGAGUUGAUUCUUUUAUGACCCUUAAUCUUAGGAAUAGUAGAAAAAGUUACCACGGGGAUAACAGCGUAAUUUUUUUUGAGAGUUCUUAUUGACAAAAAAGUUUGCGACCUCGAUGUUG
rnacentral:rRNA from 1 species